UGUAGUGGCUUUUUAUGUAAGUUGUUUUCCCUUGCAAUUUUCUGUUUGGCUUUACCAGUUUGGUGAAUGACUAACGAGACAAAGGAUGUGUUCAGUUGUCGAAUGCAGAUGUUUAUCCCCAUUCUCAUGAUGAGAUCGACAUAGAGCUGUUGGGGCAUGACAAGAGAAAAGAUUGGGUAAUUCAAACAAAUAUUUAUGCCAAUGGAAGCGUUAAGACUGGAAGAGAAGAGAAAUUCUACCUUUGGUUUGAUCCCAGCUUGAAGUACCAUGAUUACACCAUCAUUUGGAACAACUAUCAUACAGUGUAAGUGCAUUAAAUUCCAUCACUAAAAUCAGCCCAAAGUGCAGAAUCAUUAUUUUAAAACAUGGUCUUCGGGUUUCCUUAAUUUUCUAAGAAGUGUCUCAAAAUGCAAGCAGGUUUCUGGUGGAUAACGUUCCAGUAAGGGAGCUGCGAAAUUCUGAAGUGUUUUAUCCAUCAAAGCCUAUGUCAGUUUUCGUCACAAUAUGGGAUGGUUCAGAAUGGGCAACUCAUGGAGGAAAAUACCCAGUUGACUACAAGCAUGCACCAUAUACAGCUUCUUUUGAAGAAAUGGAAAUCAAUGGAGGUAUAUUAACACCAAAGGCAACUGUUCCUUCAAGUUC
rnacentral:lncRNA from 1 species